CGUCAAUGAAAUUGCACCUUUAUGGAAAAUCUGCUGGUAGUAUCGUCAGUGGCGCUACCAGGCGCUACAAAAAUAUUUUUGGCGACUAACUCUGUUGCGUAUGUUUUAAUUGAAAAUUUCAUCAAUAAUGGUUUAUUAUUUCACAAGUGAAGUGGUACAGCCACCUAUUACCUUGUUUAUGGGAAUUGAUAAAUAUGAGAAUGAAGAUCUUAUCAAAUGGGGUUGGCCAGAAGAUGUAUGGUUUCAUGUUGAUAAAUAUUCCUCUGCUCAUGUAUAUCUUCGACUUCGACAUGGCCAGACAAUAGACGACAUUCCUAGUACUGUGUUGGAAGAUGCUGCACAAUUAGUAAAAGCAAACAGCAUUGAAGGGAAUAAAAUGAAUGAUAUUGAUGUGGUAUAUACAAUGUGGUCAAAUUUGAAAAAAACACAAGGUAUGGAGGUUGGCCAAGUUGGUUUUUAUAAAGACAAAGAUGUUCGUAAGAUUCAUGUUGCCAAGCGAAUAAAUGCCAUUGUAAAUCGGCUUAAUAAGACGAAACGUUCUGAAGAAGUAAACUUUAGAGCUGAAAGAGAACAGAGAGAUAAAAAUGAACGAGAAGAUAAGAAAAAGCUCUUAAGAGAACAGAAAGAAAGGGAAAAGGCAGAAGAAAAACAACGUCAGGAAGAAGCAGAGAUGAGAAGUUAUAAUUCUCUCUUUAAUACAUCUAAUAUGACAUCAAAUACGGAAAAUAAUGGAUAUGAUUCGGAUGAUUUCAUGUGAUGAAACUAAUAUUAUUAUUUAUAAUUGUGCCUCAUUCUCUACAUCUCCAACAAAAAAUGUGCAAAAGAAGAAAAUGGCAGAAUAAAACAUGUAAAUCUCUUUCAGAUGUAACAAGGAAACCAUUUGGAAACCACCCGAAUCUGUUAAAAGAGCUCUUUUCCAAUUCAUGAAUUUGUGUAAACCUCCAGCUUUACGCAGGACAUCUGCACCC
rnacentral:misc_RNA from 1 species